rnacentral:rRNA from 1 species
AGCGAACGCUGGCGGCAGGCCUAACACAUGCAAGUCGAACGAACUCUUCGGAGUUAGUGGCGGACGGGUGAGUAACACGUGGGAACGUGCCUUUUGGUUCGGAAUAACUCAGGGAAACUUGUGCUAAUACCGAAUGUGCCCUUCGGGGGAAAGAUUUAUCGCCAUUAGAGCGGCCCGCGUCUGAUUAGCUAGUUGGGGAGGUAACGGCUCACCAAGGCGACGAUCAGUAGCUGGUCUGAGAGGAUGACCAGCCACACUGGGACUGAGACACGGCCCAGACUCCUACGGGAGGCAGCAGUGGGGAAUCUUGCGCAAUGGGCGAAAGCCUGACGCAGCCAUGCCGCGUGAAUGAUGAAGGUCUUAGGAUUGUAAAAUUCUUUCACCGGGGACGAUAAUGACGGUACCCGGAGAAGAAGCCCCGGCUAACUUCGUG